UACGGAGGGUGCGAGCGUUGUCCGGAAUCACUGGGCGUAAAGGGCGCGUAGGCGGCGCGGGAAGUCAUCGGUGAAAGCUCAGGGCUCAACUCUGAGUCGGCCGGUGAUACUCUCGUGCUUGAGCACUGUAGAGGCAGGUGGAAUUCCGGGUGUAGCGGUGGAAUGCGUAGAGAUCCGGAAGAACACCAGUGGCGAAGGCGGCCGACUGGUCCGGUUCUGACGCUGAGGCGCGAAAGCGUGGGGAGCAAACAGG
rnacentral:rRNA from 1 species